GCCACAUUUACAUUGUAGUAGAUAUACAACAUUACUGUCAAAGUAAAAAUGUUGUAUAUCUACUACAAUGUAAAUGUGGC